rnacentral:rRNA from 1 species
ACUCAAAUGAAUAGACGGGGGCCCGCACAAGCGGUGGAGCAUGUGCAUUAAUUCGUCACUAACCGAAGAACCUUACCAGGGUUUGACAUCCCCGGACCGCCCGAGAGAUCGGGUCUCCCCCGCAAGGGGGCCGGGUGACAGGUGUUGCAUGGUUGUCGUCAGCUCGUGUCGUGAGAUGUUGGGUUAAGUCCCGCAACGAGCGCAACCCUCACCCAAUGUUGGCAGCGUAAAGUCGGCAACUCUUUGGGAACUGCCCGUGUAAGCGGGAGGAAGGUGGGGAUGACGUCAAAUCGGCAUGGCCCUUACGCCCUGGGCUUGACACAUGCUACAAUGGCCGUUAAACAGAGCGACGCGAUGCCGCGAGGCGGAGCCAAUCGCACAAAUACGGUCUCAGUUCGGAUUGCAGGCUGCAACUCGCCUGCAUGAAGUCGGAAUCGCUAGUAACCGCAGGUCAGCUAAACUGCGGUGAAUACGUUCCCGGGCCUUGCACACACCGCCCGU